rnacentral:rRNA from 1 species
UACGUAGGGUGCAAGCGUUGUCCGGAAUUAUUGGGCGUAAAGAGCUCGUAGGCGGUCUGUCGCGUCGGCUGUGAAAACUCGGGGCUCAACCCCGAGCCUGCAGUCGAUACGGGCAGACUAGAGUGCUGUAGGGGAGACUGGAAUUCCUGGUGUAGCGGUGAAAUGCGCAGAUAUCAGGAGGAACACCGGUGGCGAAGGCGGGUCUCUGGGGCAGUAACUGACGCUGAGGAGCGAAAGCGUGGGGAGCGAACAGG